ACAAAAAAAAAAAGUUAUGUCAUAAAGAUAUAAACCGGUGCUGUGACUCACCUGCUCUUAGCCGCAGGUGCGAGCGUCUUUGUGCGGCGGACAAAUGGGGAGAGGACGAGGAGGUGGGCACUCAAGCGACGUAAGAUCCACAUCAGCUCAACUGCACUUGCCUCGCAGAGGCAGCCCGCUCACUUCCCGCGGAGGCGCUCCCCGGCGCCGCGCUCCGCGGCAGCCGCCUGCCCCCGGCGCUGCCCCCGCCCGCCGCGCCGCCGCCGCCGCCGCGCACGCCGCGCCCCGCAGCUCUGGGCUUCCUCUUCGCCCGGGUGGCGUUGGGCCCGCGCGGGCGCUCGGGUGACUGCAGCUGCUCAGCUCCCCUCCCCCGCCCCGCGCCGCGCGGCCGC
rnacentral:lncRNA from 1 species